GAAACACCCCCUGGACUGCCAACCGGUAUGGUAUUUCACGGAAGAGAAACCAUAGAUUUACGAGCUGGCGGCGGCGCUACUGGCCAGAUCACGUGACGUCGCCCCCAAGAGAUUGAGUCAAGUUCUACAGCCACAUUUCCACGGGGGUUCCUUCGGUAGAGUACAGGUGUGAUGAUUCUGCCUUCACCUGGCCCGCCCACGCCCACAACUUAUCCUUUAAUUAGUCCCCAGCCUGCCCUCCACCUGCACCUCGCUGCUCACUUGUCCUUACCUGCCAACAGCACUCACUCUCUAUCUCACACUUUAUUUUUUAUAUCUACGUAUUCACUCUUCGAGGCUGGACAACUUACCAUUUUCUUUGUGACUAAUAUGGAGUAGCUCAAAUGUUAUGGACUUGGUGAUAUAAAGACUCCUUGGGCUGAUGGAAUCUUUAUGAUGUUAAGUUGCCUCACUGUAUGUUUCCUCGUGUGACAUGCAGUAAGGGGCUGCUGGCACCAUAACAAGUCCCUAACACGUUGAGUAAGGUGGGAUUAGUAAGAGGGGCUGAUCUCACUAACUACUUUAUAUAACUCAUGAUAUUUCUUGUUAUCACCAUUCAUUAAGUUUUCCCAUCAUUCCGUAAGCGACUCGUGUUUUCCCUUCGCUUCCCAUCUAUGCCCAUUCUUUAAACUACCAACCAUAACUUAUUGUAUCCCCAAAGUCUCAUUAACAACUGCUUACUCAUGUUGUUCUUUCCUAUUAUCACCAUUCAUUAAGUUUUCCCAUAAUUUCGUAAGCCACUCGUGUUCUCCCUUCGCUUCCCAUCCAUACCCAUUCUUUAAACUACCAACCAUAACUUAUUGUAUCCCCCAAAGUCUCAUUAACAACUGCUUACUCAUGUUUUUCUUUCCUAUUAUCAACAUUCAUAAAGUUUUCCCAUAAUUUCGUAAGCCACUCGUGUUCUCCCUUCGCUUCCCAUCCAUACCCCAGUCUCAUUAACUGCUUACCUUAUUAUGCCUAUACUCACGUCCUUCCCUCCCUCAAUUCUUAUCCGUAUCCUUUCAUUAAAUUACCACCAUUACUUAUUCAAUUACUCUCAAAGUUUCAUUAACUGCCAACUCGAUUAUGUACUCCAUAUCACAGCCUUUUCCUCAGUCAUGGCUGGAGUGUAGGAAAGAAUGUAACUAGGAAAAAGACUGAGGAGGAGCUUUAUGACUCAUGCAACAGGGAACACAUGAGGCUACGAAUGCAGGAAGGAAUAUGUGAGACUUUUUUUCCGCGUUACAAUUUCUUUUUUUCAUUCCUGAGUUCCCUUACCUCCUUCCCUUUCACUAUUGUCAUUGAUACACCCUUCCUUAGAAAUAUAUUGCUACAUGAGUGCACAUUGUUAUUUUUCCGUGUUACCUGUUCUCUCUCUCUCUCUCUCUCUCUCUCU